rnacentral:rRNA from 1 species
AGUCGAAACAAUAAUUGACAAACACAAAUACCACUCAUUGACAACUUUACUGUUGACAAUUGACUGCACAUAAAUAAACCAAUCAUUGACUGCAUAUUGACUGCAAUUGACAGUUCAUACCAGAGAUUAGAGAACAGAAGCACAACAAUGAACCAUAAACAACAACACCGAUAAUCCUGACCAUAGGAAACCUUUACAGUAUUACCUGAAGAACGGCUAGGCUGUGUCCUGACCCAAGGUUUGUAGAAAAUUUCUCAUCAAGGGAUAGAGCAUGGAUAGAGCGGUCAUUAGCUAGAAAGUUGUGACGUGAUUUGAAGUCCAUUCUCCAACGCGAUAUUUGAAUUUAUUGCAAUACAAGAAUGAUGCCAAGCGACUGAAUGCAUUUGCAAAUGAUUUAUUUAUGGAGGUUGGUAAUUAUACUAAUUAUAAUUUAUUAAAACUAGUAUUUGGAUUGAAUUGGAGAUAAUCCAGGGAUUUUCUCCCCGUGUUACUCUCACGUAGAGUGGUGAUUGGCUAAACAUUCAUGACGUAGGCGUAGCUUGCAGUCCAUGUUCCACUGGGAGAUUCGAAUUACCCCUCAAAGGCCGGGCUUAUUAGGAAAAAAACCGCGCGAAAUUAGCGCCCCGGCUUUUGCUCAAAUAUCGUAUAAAAACAAAGGAAUUGUUUUUUUUGUGAUUUUUUCUGUUUGCCAGAUAAUGUAUCUUAUUAUUCAUAUAUAUUACAUGAUAAUAUCAUUGCAGGUUUUCCCAGAAUAGCUAACUUUAGCAAAAAAAUAAUGUAAAAAUUUUCCCAUUCCGGAAACAAAUCGUUAAAAAAUAUAUUUAUGCGAAAAUGAACUGAUUUUUUUUUAUUUCUACACAAACCUAAAUAGACACCCUACGUGAAAAAAACAAUACAAGGGUGUUUUCGAAGAAAUUAUGACAUUGGUACUUUGAAAAUGUAAAAUAUUUUCAUCUUUUCAAGAAAAAUUCGAAAACCAAGUGUGCACUUUCGCAUUUUUUUGUGUCUGAUAUCUUUAGUUUAUGAUAACAAUUCUUUCAUAUUUUGAUAGUUUAUANAUGUGUCAUUUCUUAAAAGUACACCCGUCGGGCGAAAGGGAAUCCGGUUGCAGUUCCGGAACCCGGCUGCGGAACCGUCUUAAAAAUCGUUCCCUCGCAAGAGAGUUCGUCGGGGUAACCCAAAGUGGCCUGAAGACGCCGACGGGAGAUCCGGAGAGAGUUAUCUUUUCUGCCUGAGCGUUCGAGCGCCCUGGAAUCCCAUAGCGGGGAGAUAGGGCUCGGGACGCGAAGAGCAUCGCCGAUGCGGCGGUGUCCGGAUCGGCCCCUCGGACCUUGAAAAUUCAGGUGAGGGAUACGCGGAGAUGUCGCGCCGGCUCGUACCCAUAUCCGCAGCAGGUCUCCAAGGUGAAGAGCCUCUAGCCGAUAGAAUAAUGUAGGUAAGGGAAGUCGGCAAGUUGGAUCCGUAACUUCGGGAUAAGGAUUGGCUCUGAGGGCCGUGGCGUGUCGGGCCUGGUCGGGAAGAGGUCAUCGGCCGAGACGUGGAAGCCGGGCGGGGUCUCCCCGCGUGGUGCCUUCGCGGGUGCCGCGCGGGUGUGGAUCUCCGUCACCCGGCGCCUCGCCUUGGCCUCCCCUCGGAUCUUCCUCGCUGUGUGGUGCCGGCGUGUUCGCGCACGCUCGGUUACCUGUACGGCCGCCGGACGACGGUCAACUCAGAACUGGCACGGACAAGGGGAAUCCGACUGUCUAAUUAAAACAAAGCAUUGCGAUGGCCCUCGCGGGUGUUGACGCAAUGUGAUUUCUGCCCAGUGCUCUGAAUGUCAAUGUGAAGAAAUUCAAUUAAGCGCGGGUAAACGGCGGGAGUAACUAUGACUCUCUUAAGGUAGCCAAAUGCCUCGUCAUCUAAUUAGUGACGCGCAUGAAUGGAUUAACGAGAUUCCCAUCUGUCCCUAUCUACUAUCUAGCGAAACCACUGCCAAGGGAACGGGCUUGGGAGAAUCAGCGGGGAAAGAAGACCCUGUUGAGCUUGACUCUAGUCUGGUAUUGUAAGGUGACAUGAGGGGUGCAGAAUAAAUGGGAGUCGGGAGCAAUUCCUCCAAACGUGAAAUACCACUACUUUCAUCUUUUCGUUACUUACUCAGUAUAUAUUACUUACUCAGUACAUAUUUAUUAUAUUGCAAGCCCAGUGCAACAACCCUUGAGGCAACCUAAAAUUCAAUUUAAACAGGGGUCAAAUCCUAUUUAAAAAGAGUCUUUAUUAUGAGACUUUACAUAAGUAAAGAGCGGAAUCAAAUUCAAUUUAAACAGGGGCCAAAUCCUUUUC